UACGUAGGGGGCAAGCGUUGUCCGGAUUUAUUGGGCGUAAAGAGCGUGUAGGCGGCCAUGUAGGUCCGUUGUGAAAAACUCGAGGCUCAACCUCGAGACGCCGAUGGAAACCAUGUGGCUAGAGUCCGGAAGAGGAGAGUGGAAUUCCUGGUGUAGCGGUGAAAUGCGCAGAUAUCAGGAAGAACACCCGUGGCUAAGGCGGCUCUCUAGUACGGUACUGACGCUGAGACGCGAAAGCGU
rnacentral:rRNA from 1 species